rnacentral:rRNA from 1 species
ACCUCGAAUCAGGUAGGACUACCCGCUGAACUUAAGCAUAUCAAUAAGCGGAGGAAAAGAAACCAACAGGGAUUGCCCUAGUAACGGCGAGUGAAGCGGCAACAGCUCAAAUUUGAAAUCUGGCCUUCGGGUCCGAGUUGUAAUUUGUAGAGGAUGCUUUUGGUGAGGUGCCUUCCGAGUUCCCUGGAACGGGACGCCAUAGAGGGUGAGAGCCCCGUCUGGUUGGACACCGAUCCUCUGUAAAGCUCCUUCAACGAGUCGAGUAGUUUGGGAAUGCUGCUCUAAAUGGGAGGUAUAUGUCUUCUAAAGCUAAAUAUUGGCCAGAGACCGAUAGCGCACAAGUAGAGUGAUCGAAAGAUGAAAAGCACUUUGAAAAGAGAGUUAAAAAGUACGUGAAAUUGUUGAAAGGGAAGCGCUCAUGACCAGACUUGGGCUUGGUUGAUCAUCCAGGGUUCUCCCUGGUGCACUCUUCCAGUUCAGGCCAGCAUCAGUUCGCUGCGGGGGAUAAAGGCUUUGGGAAUGUGGCUCCUUCGGGAGUGUUAUAGCCCAUUGUGUAAUACCCUGUGGUGGACUGAGGA